GACGAACGCUGGCGGCGUGCUUAACACAUGCGAGUCGAACGCGCCUGUCCUCUGGGUUUCUGGGGGGUGGGUGAGUGGCGAACGGGUGAGUAACACGUGAGUAACCUGCCCAUUUCUUCGGGAUAACGGUGGGAAAGGGCUGCUAAUACCGGGUAUUCACUAGUCUCCGCAUGGGGUCUGGUGGAAAGGGUUUUUUCUGGUGGGGGAUGGGGUCGCGGCGUAUCAGCUUGUUGGUGGCGUGAUGGCGCACCAAGGCUUCGACGGGCUGCCGGCGUGAGAGGCUACCCGGUGACAUGGGGACGGAGAUACGGCCCAGGCUCCGAAGGGGGGGAGCAGUGGGGAAUAUGGCAGAAUGGGCGCAGGCCUGAUGCAGCGAGGCCGCGGGAGGGUUGGGGGCCUUCGGGUUGUGAUCCUCUUGCGCCCGUGGUCAAGCCGCGACGUGGGUCGUGGUGAGGGUAGUGGGUAAAGAAGCGCCGGCUAACUACGUG
rnacentral:rRNA from 1 species